ensembl:antisense Gm43434 predicted gene 43434
UGCUUCCAAAACACUUGCACAGUGAGUUGUUUGCAGGCUGGGCACAGGAACCGUAGUCUCCUCAUGUCAGCCCACCUGUAAAUAAAGGAAAGUUUUAUACAAUCACAGACUCUGAAACUGGAAAGAGGGAGCGGUGGUAUCAUUUUGGGAAGGCUGGUGUCUACUGUGCGGUACCAUUCCAGACAUCAUUAAUCAAUUGCGGAACAUGACACUGCUAACAUGGCAGGGGUUCUGCUGGUUCUGGUAGUUUUUCAUUAUCUGGAAGAAACAACAGUGAUCAAGAUAUUGAUGACAAUGAAGAAGCCAAAGGAGACUCUAGAAUAAGAAAAACACACGAGUCACCAUGUAAGACGUAAUGGCUUCAGCAAUGGACUUGGAACUUUUGAUCCAUUAGAAAGACUGUUGGUCUCUGGCUUGGCUCCAGUGGCUUCUGGUAGCCAAACCACUGAACUCUGGGUUUCAAACACUGGAUCAGGUUACCAGUGGAUAACGCUUUCAGGAGAACACCACCACUUCCCAGUUUUUCUGGAGUCAGUGUCUGUGUUUCUCUGAGAUAUGAAUCCCUGAUGCCUUGUACAGAGCCCCCAGAUUCAGGGCUUACAGGAGAGGGAAGUGUUACCCUGGCUAGCAUGGGAUCUUGGGGAUCAGUUAAUCUGAGGCCAGCCUUGCUAGUUCA